rnacentral:lncRNA from 1 species
GCUUAUUUGCCAUCUGCCUAUCCUUUUUGGUGAAAUAUCAGUUCAUGUCUUUCAGCCAUGUUUAAUUUUUUUUUACUGUUGAGUUUUGAAAGUUCUUUAUAUAUUCUAGAAGAUGCAAAAUGUUUGUCAGAUAUUGGCUUGCAAAUAUUUUCUCCCAGUCUGCAGGUUGUCUUUUCACCCUCUAAACAGAGUCUUUCACAGCAUGAAACAAAUGGAGGCUUUAAAUGGCCAUUUCAGAAAAGCCUGACCUAGCCUUGAGAGCGUCGGACACGGUCACUCCACCGGUUCCCACUCACGAGGGCAGAUCAUGGGUUUAAAUCCCAUUUGGGUGUGCUAAUUCAGCUUCACAAUAGCUCACCCACCAUGGGCUUAACGCUAUUCAGUGGCCACAGGUGAGUGUGUUUCAGGACAUCACAAAAAGAUAAGCUGAGAAAGAGUGGCCCACCGCUGCCAGAACAGCUUGAGGGCAAGUCCCCACUGACCCGGAAAGUGAGUCAGUUGCAUCACCCCCUUAGAAACCUGGAAAAUGCUUCAUCAUCGGUGUAGAGCGAGAGCCAGCAUUCAAAACGCCAGGGGGCUUAUCAGGCCAUUUCACCACAACAUAAAGUAACAGGCAGACUUGAAUUCAUCUGGCACUGUUGACCAACACAGAGAGCCAAAACACACACGGAAUUCAAAAUCAGAAAUAAUCCCAAGUUUGAGUCAUCCAAUGUGCUUGUCUACAUUGAUUGCACUCACCAGAUAAAAGUCCAAUGCACUCUGUGGGGUGAAACAGCCUCUGUCUCAGGUUGGGAGUUGCUGCCAUGGAGACCACAAGAGUGGAGAUUUUCUGACACACAGAAAGGAAUGGAUUACAGCUCCUUCUUAUGUAAAUUUCCAUGGAGGGGAAAAAAGAUUAAAAGGAAAAUAAUUCUGCUUUAGUCGUUUUCCUUUAAGGUGAUAAGAUCCUUUGAUUCCAUCGUGGAGAAGAAGGCAACAGCUGUUUGUCACAAAUGGUCCAAAAUGGCUGCUAAAAUUCCUGCCACUACAUCUGGAUCCCAGGCAGCAGGAAGGAGAAAUGGAAGAAGACCUGUCCUGUCCCUGAGACAAUGCCAUUCAGCAUGUUCCAUACAAUAUCUCUGCUUAUUGAUCACUGGCCAGAACUUGACAGAGAUGAACAAUGAGGCUUUUUUGUUCUGCUUUUUAUGUUCUGCUACAGACAAAAAGAAAAAAAAGCGUAUGUAUUUAUAGUCUACUUGAUUUUAAUAAAGGAUUGAGUGCAGCCUAAGGCAUGUGCAUGUUAUCCUGUAGGUAACAGGGGCCACAAAUGGGUUGUGGCUAAUGGAACAUGGCUGAAGGGUCUGUGCCAGUUCUGAGCCUCAGGAGGCACUGCUGUUUCUUCUUGCCCUUCUGGGACUUUUGCCAUGGGAAGAACCCACAGUCUUGGGGUCUUUUUCAGCCUGGGUUCCAGAAUGAGAUGCAUUCUGAACAUGAAGGUGGGGCAGAUCUGAACUUGACCCAUCACCUGAAGCCAAACUGUCCAAACCACCUCUCAAAGCUAUGAGCAACAAAUAAAUGCUUAUUUUGUGCGCCUCAGAGAUUUGUAAUUGCUAUACAGCAUCAUUGUAGCAGAAGCCUGUGAAUGCCCCUGGUAACUAGAUUCCUCUCUAUUCUCUCAUACUGUGAGUGCUAGACAGGAGAUGUGGCCAGUCCUGCCUGUUCAGUAUACCAGGUGACCCCAGAGAUAGUGGGAGGGAAAUGCCACACAGAAAUGUCAUUGCACAAAAGAGAAAUGCAGUGCUCAUGUGCAUGUGAGAGCUGGCACUCAGGUGAGCACCAGGGAUGGUUUAGCUCAGGGACUCUCAAACUCAGCACUACUGACAUUGUGCUGUGGGGGUCUCUCUGGUGCAUGGAAGUUAAGAAGUGUCCCCGGCCUCCACCCACUAGAUACCAGCGGCACCUCCUCCCUCCCAUGCUGUGACAAUCAAAAAUGUCUCUAGACAUUGCCAAAUAUACCCCGUGUGGCAAAAUCACUCCCAACUGAGAACCACAGAUUUAGCUGAUCUGGCUUCAGUUCUUCUGAUAAGACCAGAAAAUGACAACUAAUGACACCACUUAUUGAGCAUGUACUGAAUUCCAGGCACUUGGUUAGGCAUUUUCAGGAAUUAAUUGAAUUUGGAAGGUUUAUGAAUGAGGAAGCUCAGGACAGAGAGAAGUAACUUGCUCCAGUAACAUGUUUAGUCCACGGUGGAGCUAAGGCCAAGCUGUCUGACUCCAGGAUUCGUGCUCUUGACCAUACUCUCCAUGCUGCCUCCCCCAGAAAUUAACCCCUUGAGCGAGUCAGGAAAAGAUGCGUCGACACAAGUGUUAUUCUCGUGAAUAUCACUUGAAUUCUGUAUGUGUGUCUUAUAGUAGCAAAAACAGUGUGGGCUUGGUCAGGUGCGAUUCUCGCUACCCUUACAUAGCUGUGGAAUAACCUCGAUAGUCACCGUCGUACUUCCCUGCCUACCUGAGUGGGGCUACACAGACUGCAGGAUGUAUCCAGCCUCUUCAGGCUUUUUCUGGACAACUCAGUCCUACUUAGUGAAAACGUGUUUCGAGAUCCUGCGCCUCUUUGAUGAUAGAGAUAAAAAGCCUUAAAAAGGUUUCUACCCAUUAGUCUAGCAAUUCCACUUCUUGGAAUUUAUCCUUAGGAAGGAAUCAAAUAUGUCAAAUCAAACAAAGAGUUAUGCAUAGGAUAUUUGAUUUUAGUGUGAUUUGCAAGAGCAAACAUUGAAUACGAUAUUGGGCAAAUAAAUUACAGCAUGUCCAGAUGGUGGUAUGUUCGACUUGUAGAUGAAUAUUUUCUUCCAAGGGAAAAACUUCAUGAUAUAUUAUUCUUUGAGAAAAAAAAAGAUUUGAAUACCAUGUAGCAUAUGAUCCCAAUUUUGGAAAUUGUGUAUAUAUUACACCAUCAUAUUGAACAAGCAGGGACUUGUAGGAUGCAACAGAAACGAAUCGUAUUUUUGGUCUCCCACUGUCUUGUUAAGCUUGUUCUGCAAUAUUUAUUCUGCUCCUUAAUAAAAGUGGGGCAAGUUCUACGAAGUCUUUUGUCGCCCUUAUCUAAGAAAACAUGAUCCAGUUACUUCUUCCACAAAAACCCAGUCUCCAUUGGUAAUUAAUAUGCCCAUUCCAGGAUAAGGACCCAAAUCCUCCCAUCGACAUUGCAAAUGAAAAUUUCCUCCCUCUCCCAGCUUUGCUGCAUUAGGCUGGCACCUGCAGUGAGAAGGGGUUGUGGGGCUGUGCGCCUCUAUUUGCUUCACCUGGUGCUUCCAUUUUCCCUCCAUACUCCCCCCACCCCUUGGCUUCUCCAGGAUUGGCCAGGGCAAGAGGAGAAGAGAGGAGGGAAGCGGGUGGGAAGAGACUCACUCCGCUGGUGGUGUUCCAGCCAUCUGGGGUUGACAGAUGACUCACCUCAUGGGUUCCUUCAUGGGUAAUUUGCAGCAACCGCCUCUUAUCUGCCUUUGCCUGACUGGGAGCAUGCAUCUCUUCUGACCGUUCCUCCACUGCUUCUCCCUCACCCCCUAGCAUCUGGCGCCGCACCUCCCAGGCCAGUUCUGCUCCAUGGGAAACUCACACAUGCUUUGCCCUGACAG